GGGCGGUUAGCUCAGUGGGAGAGCGCUUGCCUUACAAGCAAGAGGUCGCUGGUUCGAAACCGGUACCGCCCACCA
rnacentral:tRNA from 1 species